rnacentral:rRNA from 1 species
AUUCCAGCUCCAGUAGCGUAUAUUAAAGUUGUUGCAGUUAAAAAGCUCGUAGUUGGAUUUCUGGCAAGGCAGAGCUAACCUGGUACAGAUGUAUCGUGUGUUGGAUUCUGUCUGCCAUCCUUCCAGAAAACUUCAAUACCAUUCACUUGGCCGUUGUUGCAAUCUGGAACUUUUACUUUGAAAAAAUUAGAGUGUUCAAAGCAGGCGUUACGCCAUGAAUACAUUAGCAUGGAAUAAUAAUUUAGGACUUCAGUUCUAUUUUGUUGGUUUCUAGGACAGAAGUAAUGAUUGAUAGGGAUAGUUGGGGGUGCUAGUAUUCAGCGGCCAGAGGUGAAAUUCUUGGAUUCGCUGAAGACUAACUUAUGCGAAAGCAUUCACCAAGGAUGUCUUCAUUA